UCCCAUAGGCUAAGCAUGACGCGGGCCCUUAAAAGGUCAAACAUAGCUAAAUCCCAGUGUAAAGUAGCUAACCUCCGUCCAAGUGCUCCGAACACAGUCGGUAUGUCUGCGACUGAUAUGUCCGGUGUGCUGGAUAUCCUUCGGUUACUGUACCGGCACACGCAGACACUGGAGGAGUUUUCGGACAGCAUCGUGUUCAGAGAAGGACAGAAAGCAGCUCUCAUUGAGCAGACAGAUACAAACCGAUUCAAAUCUUUCGUUAGGAGUGUUUUUGUGUGCUUUGACAAGGAGCUACAGCAGGUAGCGAGCUGUAAACAGAUCUGCAGUCUGCCUGAACUACUGGCGUUUGUUCUCAACACUCUAAAAAGAAAAAGAAAAAGGAAUGUCUUGGCACAUGGCUAUAACUUUCAGACCCUGGCUCAGGAGGAUCGGGAUGCAGACUUCCUCAAAUUCCAAGGCGACGUAACACAGAGUGCUGCCUACAUCCACGGCAGUGACCUGUGGAAAAAAGUCACAAUGCGUCUGGGCACAGACAUCACGCAAUAUCUUCUGGAGAGCUGCUCUGUGUUUGUGGCAGUUCCUCCUUCGUGUGUUUUCCAGGUGUGCGGCCCUCCAGUCUAUGACAGGGUGUCCAUGACCAUGGCCUCGAGUGGGUUUUUUCUCCAGCCUGGAGUCAGGAAACAUAAUCGUACCAAGAUUGAGAGCUGUCGAGGGUCAGUGAGUUUGAAACAGAAACGCACAGUUGUGAAUCCUGCUGCAAGCAAGAAGAUGAAAAGAAGGAAUAAAGGAGGGAAAAAAGGGAAAAGAAAACGGGAAACUGGUGAAGAGGAGGAGGUGGCGGUUUGUUCAAGAAAGAGGCGGCGAGUAGCGUCUAUAGAACAUCAACAGGCGAUCCAACCAGUUGGCUCUGAAAAGGAAGGACAGGUUGUGCCUGUGGAAUCAGCACCGCCUGCAGCUUUCAAACAGCCUGUUGAAAUGCCAACAUUGGAGGGCGGUCCUAGUUGGAGAUCAGGGAUUUUCCCCCCUUUACCACCCUCGCAAUGUUUUAUCCGCACCCUGGGAUUCCUGUAUGGGGGCAGGGGCAUGCGUGGCUUUCUUCUUAACAGGAGGAAGAAGACUGCUCAUGGAUCCAGAAGGCUUCAAGGACAAGAUCUGGUAAGAAUAGUCUUCUUCGAGGGACUAGCGUAUUUGAAUGGAGUAGAGAGGAAGCCUAAAAAACUCCCCCAGAGGUUCUUUGGCAUGGUCCCCCUGUUUAGGCAGCUCUUACAACAACACAGGAGCUGUUCCUACACCAAAAUACUACAGAGGUUAUGUCCAUCAAUAGAGGAGAGCAAUGCAGGACAGGGAGAACUAAACUCACUCUUACCUCAGCACUGUGCACCGCACAGGGUUUACCUGUUUGUCCGGGAAUGCCUCUCUUCUGUGAUCCCGCAAGAACUGUGGGGCUCUGAUCAAAACCGGCUGCAUUUCUUUGCCAGGGUCAGGACUUUCUUGCGAAGUGGCAAGUUUGAGAGGCUCUCACUGGCUGAACUGAUGUGGAAGAUAAAGGUGAAUGACUGUGAUUGGUUGAAGAGGAGUAAAACAGGCUGUUUUCCACCCAGCGAGCUUGCGUAUCGGACACAGGUCCUGGGUCAGUUCUUGGCUUGGCUUCUGGAUGGAUAUGUUACAGGCCUUGUGAGAGCCUGUUUCUAUGCAACAGAGAGUAUUGGGCAAAAAAACGCCAUCAGGUUCUACAGGCAGGAAGUCUGGGCCAAACUGCAAGACUUGGCCUUCAGAGGUCACCUUUCCAAAGGCCAGAUGGAAGAGCUGACUCCAGCUCAGGUGGCAUCCCUGCCCAAAGGCACCGUCAUCUCCCGCCUUCGCUUUAUUCCCAAGACUGAUGGCAUGAGGCCCAUCACACGAGUCAUAGGAGCAGAUGCCAAAACAAGGCUCUACCGAGGCCGUGUCAGGGACUUGCUGGAUAUGCUGCGGGCCUGUGUGCGUGCCACUCCAUCACUGCUGGGGUCCACAGUGUGGGGGAUGACUGACAUCCACAAGGUUUUGUGCUCUUUGGCACCAGCGCAGAAGGAAAAACCACAACCCCUCUAUUUUGUUAAGGUGGACGUGAGUGGAGCCUAUGAGAGUUUGCCGCAUGACAAACUCAUAGAGGUGAUUGGCCAAGCCCUGUCACCUGUCCACGAUGAACUCUUUACCAUCCGCCGCUAUGCCAAGAUCUGGGCGGACUCCCACGAAGGCCUGAAAAAGGCCUUUGUCAGACAGGCAGAUUUCCUGGAGGAUAACAUGGGAUCCACCAACAUGAAGGGCUUUUUGACGUCACUGCAGAGAAAAGGCAAAGUUCAUCACGCCAUCCUGGUUGAGCAGCACUUUUGCUCAGAUCUUCAUGGCAGAGAGGCAUUGCAGUUCUUUACCCAAAUGCUAACUGGCAGUGUUGUUCAGUAUGGGAAAAAGACGUACCGUCAGUGCCGGGGGAUUCCUCAGGGAUCGGUUGUGUCUAGUCUGCUCUGCUGCCUUUGCUACGGCCACAUGGAGAAUCUCCUGUUUAAAGAUAUUCCUGGACACAAAGGGUGUUUGAUGAGACUGGUGGAUGACUUCCUUCUGAUCACACCAGACCAACAUGAAGCACAAGCUUUUCUCAAGAUCUUGCUGGCCGGAGUGCCACAGUAUGGUCUGGCGGUCAACCCGCAGAAGGUGGUUUUGAACUUUCAGGUAUCGGGAAGCGUGGCCUCCUGUCCCGACAUUCGCAUCCUGCCCCCUCACUGCCUCUUCCCCUGGUGUGGACUGCUGCUGGACACCCACAAGCUGGACGUCUAUAAAGACUAUUCCAGCUAUGCUGGACUGUCUCUGCGCUACAGCCUUACUCUGGGUUCAUCCCACUCUGCAGGACAGCAGAUGAAAAGGAAACUAAUGGCUAUCCUCAGGCUCAAGUGUCAUGCCCUGUUCUUCGACUUGAAGACUAAUUCUCUUGAAGCGGUCUACAAGAACAUCUACAAGCUGGUGCUGCUGCAUGCGUGCAGGUUUCAUGUCUGUGCCCAAAGCUUGCCCUUUGGUCAGACCGUUUCCAAGAACCCCGUCUUCUUUCUGCAGUUGAUAUGGGAGAUGGCCCAGUACUGCAACAAGCUCAUCAGACGCAGCAACAAAGGACUGAUUUUAGGUGAUAAGGCCCAGACGGGGAUCGUGCAGUACGAAGCAGUGGAGCUGCUUUUCUGUCUGUGCUUCUUGCUGGUGCUGUCACAACAUCGUCUUCUCUAUAAAGAUCUGCUCGCACACUUGCACAAGCGAAAGCGCAGUCUGGAGCGGCGUCUGGGGGACCUGAGGCUGGCCAGGGUGCGGCAGGCUGCUAGCCCCAGGACUCCAGUCGACUUCUUGGCCAUUCAGACAUAAAUUACUAUUCCCAGUCCCAGUUUCCAACAUGACCGCAGAACAACACUGGGAGAUUAAAGAGUGUCGGGAAACAUGUCUGGAAAAAAACAGUACUUAGUCGUGUGCUGUAAAACACUUAAGUGCUAAACCUCAGCCAUAAACGCACACAAUCAAACAACAGCAACCUGUCAGGAUCGGUAAUUGAAAGUCAUGCAGCUACUGUAAUAGAGCAGGCCUCAUCCCAUAGCUGUGUGUCUUUGUGGACUUUGAUUUAUACUUUGUAGUAGUUUUCCAUAAAGAGCAUGUGAGCACAUACGUCACAGAAGUUGUGAGCCAUUCGUCAAAGGAUUUUUUACUUUUGUGCUACAUCACGUAUGCUCAGUUCUUUAGACAAUGCUAAAGUCGUUCAGAAAUGAACAAACCUGGAAGGUUCUGUGUCCUCUUGUUGUUUGUUUUUUUUACUAUGUUCAA